GGUAAUUCGUUCACUUGGUGUCCAAAUACAAUAACGUUCAUAAAUAUCUAAAUAUAACUAUGUUCAUCUAUUUACCAACGUAGCUGCCAAAGGCCCCAUAAAAAUUUUAAGAAUCCGUUAUUAUCCAUUAAGUUAAAGGAAACACCCAUCCCCUGACCCACUUAUGGUCAAUGAAAACAGCAAGGGGACAGCGACGUUUCGCAGACACCGAGGGGCAAAUCACUCCUAGAAAGUGUACAGGACAUUUGGACUUUUAAAAGUCC